UUUUACUUCCUACCGGGUUGCUGACUUCCGGAGCGAUUUACGCUAUUGUUUUUAUCAUUAGUUUACUAGGUCGUCAAUGCAUUUCUGACUGAAAUAGUUCCGAAUGCCUACGUUUAAAUUACAGCAUGAACAUUGUUCAGUGCCUCUGUGUUCAGGUUCUUCAAAAUGUAAUGGUAUUGUGAGCUUCUGUAGUUUCCCAGUCGAUGUAGAGCUCAGGAAACCGUGGUUUGUGGCAGAACGUCGUGACAAGUGUAGGUGUGUAGUACACAUUUCGUCAAGAGUGACUUUGUUGAGGGGAAAAUUGUGGGGCGACAAUACCUAAAAAGAGGUGUUGUUCCUACAGUCUUCGCGUGGAACUGGCACAUUCAAUAGUGACCUGGUGUUUGGAAAAGAAAACUGAAACCUCCUGCCCCGACUGAAGAGGAUGAAGAACAAGGUGCGCUGCCUAUGGACUGUGCCGUCUCUUGAUCCAGGCCAGAUUACUGUGCAGUCCCUGAACAUGGCAAACCAUGAGCACAUAAGAGAAAUUGAGGAGCUUCGAGCCAAGCUGGAGAAACUGACCGCACAACACGGCUUUGGUCUACAGCGAUUUGCUGGUUCUGACGAGGAUAUACGUUUUUACACAAGAUUUGCAAACUACACCCACCUGAUGGCCUUCUGGUACAUGAUUGAGCGGGCAGCAGAGACCAAGUUUAUAAGAGUCACAAGCACCAAUCCAUCUGAAACAAGUGUUACUUGAAGAAAACCAACCCUGCCAUCAAUCGAUGAGUUCUUCUUGUUUAUGACUCGUCUGUCGCUGGGUCUGAAGCAGAAGGAUUUGGCCCAUCGGUUCAGGAUCCACCAAUCGACAGUGAGACAGAUUAUCAUAUCUUGGGCCAUCAUCCUCUAUUGUCUGCUUGGAUCAGCACGGAUAUGGAUCCCCAAGGAAACA